GGGUCGUAAACUUCUGUUCUAAGGGAAGAUAGUGACGGUACCUUAGGAGCAAGUCCCGGCUAACUACGUGCCAGCAGCCGCGGUAAUACGUAGGGGGCAAGCGUUAUCCGGAAUUAUUGGGCGUAAAGAGUACGUAGGUGGUUUUCUAAGCACGGGGUUUAAGGCAAUGGCUUAACCAUUGUUCGCCUUGUGAACUGGAAGACUUGAGUGCAGGAGAGGAAAGCGGAAUUCCUAGUGUAGCGGUGAAAUGCGUAGAUAUUAGGAGGAACACCAGUGGCGAAGGCGGCUUUCUGGACUGUAACUGACACUGAGGUACGAAAGCGUGGGGAGCAAACAGGAUUAGAUACCCUGGUAGUCCACGCCGUAAACGAUGAGCACUAGGUGUCGGGGUCGCAAGACUUCGGUGCCGCAGUUAACGCAUUAAGUGCUCCGCCUGGGGAGUA
rnacentral:rRNA from 1 species